rnacentral:rRNA from 1 species
UACUACCUACGGGAGGCAGCAGUGAGGAAUAUUGGUCAAUGGGCGCAAGCCUGAACCAGCCAAGUCGCGUGAGGGAAGACGGCCCUACGGGUUGUAAACCUCUUUUGCCGGGGAGCAAGCCUGAGCACGUGUGCCCAGGCGGAGAGUACCCGGAGAAAAAGCAUCGGCUAACUCCGUGCCAGCAGCCGCGGUAAUACGGAGGAUGCGAGCGUUAUCCGGAUUUAUUGGGUUUAAAGGGGGCGCAGGCGGGCUGUUAAGCCGGCGGGAAAAAUUCAGGGGUCAACCCUG